rnacentral:rRNA from 1 species
GACGAACCGUGCGAACGUUGUUCGGAAUCACUGGGCUUAAAGGGCGCGUAGGCGGGUUCGCAAGUCUGUGGUGAAAUCCUCCAGCUUAACUGGAGAAGUGCCAUGGAUACUGCGAGCCUCGAGGAGGGUAGGGGGCAUCUGGAACAGUAGGUGGAGCGGUGAAAUGCGUUGAUAUCUACUGGAACUCCGGUGGCGAAGGCGAGGUGCUGGACCCUUUCUGACGCUGAGGCGCGAAAGCCAGGGGGAGCGAACGGG